rnacentral:rRNA from 1 species
GACGAACGCUGGCGGCGUGCUUAACACAUGCAAGUCGAACGGAAAGGCCCUGCUUUUGUGGGGUGCUCGAGUGGCGAACGGGUGAGUAACAAGUGAGUAACCUGCCCUUGACUUUGGGAUAACUUCAGGAAACUGGGGCUAAUACCGGAUAGGCGCUCCUGCUGCAUGGUGGGGGUUGGAAAGUUUCGGCGGUUGGGGAUGGACUCGCGGCUUAUCAGCUUGUUGGUGGGGUAGUGGCUUACCAAGGCUUUGACGGGUAGCCGGCCGGCGAGGGUGACCGGCCACAUUGGGACUGAGAUACGGCCCAGACUCCUACGGGAGGCAGCAGUGGGGAAUAUUGCACAAUGGGCGGAAGCCUGAUGCAGCAACGCCGCGGGCGGGAUGACGGCCUUCGGGUUGUAAACCGCUUUCGCCUGUGACGAAGCGUGAGUGACGGUAAUGGGUAAAGAAGCACCGGCUAACUACGUG